AUACAAUGGAGAGUUUGAUCCUGGCUCAGGAUGAACGCUAGCGGGAGGCCUAACACAUGCAAGCCGAGCGGUAGAUUACUUUCGGGUAAUUGAGAGCGGCGUACGGGUGCGGAACACGUGUGCAACCUGCCUUUAUCAGGGGGAUAGCCUUUCGAAAGGAAGAUUAAUACCCCAUAAUAUAUUAUUCGGCAUCGGGUGAUAUUGAAAACUACGGUGGAUAGAGAUGGGCACGCGCAAGAUUAGCUAGUUGGUGAGGUAACGGCUCACCAAGGCGACGAUCUUUAGGGGGCCUGAGAGGGUGAUCCCCCACACUGGUACUGAGACACGGACCAGACUCCUACGGGAGGCAGCAGUGAGGAAUAUUGGACAAUGGGUGGAAGCCUGAUCCAGCCAUCCCGCGUGCAGGAAGACGGCCCUAUGGGUUGUAAACUGCUUUUAUCUGGGGAUAAACCUACUUACGUGUAAGUAGCUGAAGGUACCAGAAGAAUAAGCACCGGCUAACUCCGUGCCAGCAGCCGCGGUAAUACGGAGGGUGCAAGCGUUAUCCGGAUUUAUUGGGUUUAAAGGGUCCGUAGGCGGACUGAUAAGUCAGUGGUGAAAUCCGACAGCUUAACUGUCGAACUGCCAUUGAUACUGUUAGUCUUGAGUAAG
rnacentral:rRNA from 1 species